rnacentral:rRNA from 1 species
CUGCGGCAGCGACACUGUGUGUUGUUGGGUAGGGGAGCGUUCUGUAAGCCUGUGAAGGUGUGCUGUGAGGCAUGCUGGAGGUAUCAGAAGUGCGAAUGCUGACAUAAGUAACGAUAAAGCGGGUGAAAAGCCCGCUCGCCGGAAGACCAAGGGUUCCUGUCCAACGUUAAUCGGGGCAGGGUGAGUCGACCCCUAAGGCGAGGCCGAAAGGCGUAGUCGAUGGGAAACAGGUUAAUAUUCCUGUACUUGGUGUUACUGCGAAGGGGGGACGGAGAAGGCUAUGUUGGCCGGGCGACGGUUGUCCCGGUUUAAGCGUGUAGGCUGGUUUUCCAGGCAAAUCCGGAAAAUCAAGGCUGAGGCGUGAUGACGAGGCACUACGGUGCUGAAGCAACAAAUGCCCUGCUUCCAGGAAAAGCCUCUAAGCAUCAGGUAACAUCAAAUCGUACCCCAAACCGACACAGGUGGUCAGGUAGAGAAUACCAAGGCGCUUGAGAGAACUCGGGUGAAGGAACUAGGCAAAAUGGUGCCGUAACUUCGGGAGAAGGCACGCUGAUAUGUAGGUGAAGUCCCUCGCGGAUGGAGCUGAAAUCAGUCGAAGAUACCAGCUGGCUGCAACUGUUUAUUAAAAACACAGCACUGUGCAAACACGAAAGUGGACGUAUACGGUGUGACGCCUGCCCGGUGCCGGAAGGUUAAUUGAUGGGGUCAGCGCAAGCGAAGCUCUUGAUCGAAGCCCCGGUAAACGGCGGCCGUAACUAUAACGGUCCUAAGGUAGCGAAAUUCCUUGUCGGGUAAGUUCCGACCUGCACGAAUGGCGUAAUGAUGGCCAGGCUGUCUCCACCCGAGACUCAGUGAAAUUGAACUCGCUGUGAAGAUGCAGUGUACCCGCGGCAAGACGGAAAGACCCCGUGAACCUUUACUAUAGCUUGACACUGAACAUUGAGCCUUGAUGUGUAGGAUAGGUGGGAGGCUUUGAAGUGUGGACGCCAGUCUGCAUGGAGCCGACCUUGAAAUACCACCCUUUAAUGUUUGAUGUUCUAACGUGGACCCGUGAUCCGGGUUGCGGACAGUGUCUGGUGGGUAGUUUGACUGGGGCGGUCUCCUCCUAAAGAGUAACGGAGGAGCACGAAGGUUGGCUAAUCCUGGUCGGACAUCAGGAGGUUAGUGCAAUGGCAUAAGCCAGCUUGACUGCGAGCGUGACGGCGCGAGCAGGUGCGAAAGCAGGUCAUAGUGAUCCGGUGGUUCUGAAUGGAAGGGCCAUCGCUCAACGGAUAAAAGGUACUCCGGGGAUAACAGGCUGAUACCGCCCAAGAGUUCAUAUCGACGGCGGUGUUUGGCACCUCGAUGUCGGCUCAUCACAUCCUGGGGCUGAAGUAGGUCCCAAGGGUAUGGCUGUUCGCCAUUUAAAGUGGUACGCGAGCUGGGUUUAGAACGUCGUGAGACAGUUCGGUCCCUAUCUGCCGUGGGCGCUGGAGAACUGAGGGGGGCUGCUCCUAGUACGAGAGGACCGGAGUGGACGCAUCACUGGUGUUCGGGUUGUCAUGCCAAUGGCACUGCCCGGUAGCUAAAUGCGGAAGAGAUAAGUGCUGAAAGCAUCUAAGCACGAAACUUGCCCCGAGAUGAGUUCUCCCUGACCCUUUAAGGGUCCUGAAGGAACGUUGAAGACGACGACGUUGAUAGGCCGGGUGUGUAAGCGCAGCGAUGCGUUGAGCUAACCGGUACUAAUGAACCGUGAGGCUUAACCUU